rnacentral:ncRNA from 1 species
GCAGAGUAGGAUACCGCGCGUAAAGUGCCGGCCCGACGGGGAGUUGCGGAACGGACGAAAAGAGCUUCUCUUGCGGUACGGUAUCCGCAUCCCGCUGC